rnacentral:rRNA from 1 species
GCUUACGGCCACACCGGCCUGAGUACGCCUGAUUCUCGUCCGAUCUCGGAAGCUAAGCAGGGUCGGGUCCUGGUUAGUACUUGGAUGGGAGACCCGCCUGGGAAUACCAGGUGCUGUAAGCU